AGAACGAACGCUGGCGGCACGCCUAACACAUGCAAGUCGAGCGCCCAGCAAUGGGAGCGGCGGACGGGUGAGUAACACGUGGGAACAUGCCUUUCGGUACGGAACAACUGCGGGAAACUGCAGCUAAUGCCGUAUACGCCCUUACGGGGAAAGAUUUAUCGCCGAAAGAUUGGCCCGCGUCUGAUUAGCUAGUUGGUGAGGUAACGGCUCACCAAGGCUUCGAUCAGUAGCUGGUUUGAGAGAACGACCAGCCACAUUGGGACUGAGACACGGCCCAAACUCCUACGGGAGGCAGCAGUGGGGAAUCUUGGACAAUGGGGAAACCCUGAUCCAGCGAUGCCGCGUGAGUGAUGAAGGCCUUCGGGUUGUAAAACUCUUUCGACGGGGACGAUAAUGACGGUACCCGUAGAAGAAGCUCCGGCUAACUUCGCGCCAGCAGCCGC
rnacentral:rRNA from 1 species